rnacentral:rRNA from 1 species
CCGAGGGGAGGCCCGCGUGUGGAAUUCUUCCACAAAGGAAGAAAUUUUUGAGGGAACAACCCCCGCUUGAAUGAAGAAGGGUUUCGGCUUAGAAAAACUUUGUUUUUAAAGAAGAACUUUUUGGAGGGUAACUGUUCAGGUAUUGACGGUAUUUAACCAGAAAGCCAGGGCUAAUUACGUGCCAGCAGCCGCGGUAAUACGUAGGUGGCAAGCGUUGUCCGGAUUUAUUGGGCGUAAAGCGAGCGCAGGCGGUUUUUUAAGUCUGAUGUGAAAGCCUUCGGCUCAACCGAAGAAGUGCAUCGGAAACUGGGAAACUUGAGUGCAGAAGAGGACAGUGGAACUCCAUGUGUAGCGGUGAAAUGCGUAGAUAUAUGGAAGAACACCAGUGGCGAAGGCGGCUGUCUGGUCUGUAACUGACGCUGAGGCUCGAAAGUAUGGGUAGCAAACAGGAUUAGAUACCCUGGUAGUCCAUACCGUAAACGAUGAAUGCUAAGUGUUGGAGGGUUUCCGCCCUUCAGUGCUGCAGCUAACGCAUUAAGCAUUCCGCCUGGGGAGUACGGCCGCAAGGCUGAAACUCAAAGGAAUUGACGGGGGCCCGCACAAGCGGUGGAGCAUGUGGUUUAAUUCGAAGCUACGCGAAGAACCUUACCAGGUCUUGACAUACUAUGCAAAUCUAAGAGAUUAGACGUUCCCUUCGGGGACAUGGAUACAGGUGGUGCAUGGUUGUCGUCAGCUCGUGUCGUGAGAUGUUGGGUUAAGUCCCGCAACGAGCGCAACCCUUAUUAUCAGUUGCCAGCAUUAAGUUGGGCACUCUGGUGAGACUGCCGGUGACAAACCGGAGGAAGGUGGGGAUGACGUCAAAUCAUCAUGCCCCUUAUGACCUGGGCUACACACGUGCUACAAUGGAUGGUACAACGAGUUGCGAACUCGCGAGAGUAAGCUAAUCUCUUAAAGCCAUUCUCAGUUCGGAUUGUAGGCUGCAACUCGCCUACAUGAAGUCGGAAUCGCUAGUAAUCGCGGAUCAGCAUGCCGCGGUGAAUACGUUCCCGGGCCUUGUACACACCGCCCGUCACACCAUGAGAGUUUGUAACACCCAAAGUCGGUGGGGUAACCUUUAGGAACCAGCCGCCUAAGGUGGACAGAGUUUGGA